AUGCAGAUCUUUGUGAAGAGCCUCACCGGCAAGACCAUCACCCUCGAGGUCGAGUCCUCGGACACCAUCCACAACGUCAAGGCUAAGAUCCAGGACAAGGAGGGCAUCCCUCCGGACCAGCAGCGUCUCAUCUUUGCUGGCAAGCAGCUCGAGGAUGGCUGCACCCUGGCUGACUACGACAUCCAGAAGGAGUCCACCCUCCACUUGGUGCUAAGGCUCCGUGGUGGCAUGCAGAUCUUUGUGAAGACCCUCACCGACAAGACCAUCACCUUAGGGGUUGAUUCCUCGGACACCAUCGAUAACGUCAAGGCCAAGAUCCAGGACAAGGAGGGCAUCCCUCCGGACCAGCAGCGUCUCAUCUUUGCUGGCAAGCAGCUUGAGGAUGGCUGCACCCUAGCUGACUACAACAUCCAGAAGGAGUCCACCCUUCACUUGGUUCUUAGGCUUCGUGGUGGCAUGCAGAUCAUCGUGAAGACUCUCACCGGGAAGACCAUCACCCUGGAGGUUGAGUCCUCGGACACGAUCGACAACGUCAAGGCCAAGAUCCAGGAUAAGGAGGGCGUUCCCCCAGACCAGCAGCGCCUCAUCUUCGCUGGCAAGCAGCUGGAGGACGGUCGCACCCUGGCUGACUACAACAUCCAGAAGGAGUCCACCCUCCACCUUGUCCUCCGCCUCUGUGGUGGCAUGCAAAUCUUUGUGAAGACCCUCACUGGCAAGACCAUCACCUUGGAGGUGGAGUCAUCUGACACCAUCGACAACGUGAAGGCCAAGAUCCAGGACAAGGAGGGCAUUCCCCCGGACUAGCAGCGCCUGAUCUUUGCUGGUAAGCAGCUUGAGGAUGGCCGCACCCUAGCAGACUACAACAUCCAGAAGGAGUCCACCCUUCACUUGGUGCUUCGUCUCCGUGGUGGCCAGUGAAGUAUGCAGAUCUUUGUGAAGACCCUCACCGGCAAGACCAUCACCCUCGAGGUCGAGUCGUCGGACACCAUCGACAAUGUCAAGGCCAAAAUCCAGGACAAGGAGGGCAUCCCUCCGGACCAGCAGCGUCUCAUCUUCGCUGGCAAGCAGCUUGAGGAUGGCCGCACCCUUGCUGACUACAACAUCCAGAAGGAGUCCACCCUCCACCUGGUGCUCAGGCUCCGUGGUGGCAUGCAGAUUUUUGUGAAGACCCUCACCGGCAAGACCAUCACCCUUGAGGUCGAGUCCUCGGACACCAUCGACAACGUCAAGGCUAAGAUCCAGGACAAGGAGGGCAUCCCUCCGGACCAGCAGCGUCUCAUCUUUGCUGGCAAGCAGCUUGAGGAUGGCCGCACCCUCGCUGACUACAACAUCCAGAAGGAGUCCACCCUCCACCUGGUGCUCAGGCUCCGUGGUGGCAUGCAGAUUUUUGUGAAGACCCUCACUGGCAAGACCAUCACCCUGGAGGUUGAGUCCUCGGACACCAUUGACAACGUGAAGGCGAAGAUCCAGGACAAGGAGGGCAUCCCCCCGGACCAGCAGCGUCUCAUCUUCGCUGGUAAGCAGCUUGAGGAUGGCCGCACCCUGGCGGACUAUAACAUCCAGAAGGAGUCCACCCUUCACCUGGUGCUCAGGCUCAGGGGUGGGAUGCAGAUUUUUGUGAAGACCCUCACCGGCAAGACCAUCACCCUUGAGGUCGAGUCCUCGGACACCAUCGACAACGUCAAGGCUAAGAUCCAGGACAAGGAGGGCAUCCCUCCGGACCAGCAGCGUCUCAUCUUUGCUGGCAAGCAGCUUGAGGAUGGCCGCACCCUCGCUGACUACAACAUCCAGAAGGAGUCCACCCUCCACCUGGUGCUCAGGCUCCGUGGUGGCAUGCAGAUUUUUGUGAAGACCCUCACUGGCAAGACCAUCACCCUGGAGGUUGAGUCCUCGGACACCAUUGACAACGUGAAGGCUAAGAUCCAGGACAAGGAAGGCAUCCCUCCGGACCAGCAACGUCUCAUCUUUGCUGGCAAGCAGCUGGAGGAUGGCCGCACCCUGGCUGACUACAACAUCCAGAAGGAGUCCACCCUCCACCUGGUGCUCCGCCUUCGUGGGGGCAUGCAAAUCUUUGUCAAGACCCUCACCGGCAAGACCAUCACCCUGGAGGUUGAGUCCUCUGACACCAUCGACAAUGUGAAGGCGAAAAUCCAGGACAAGGAGGGCAUUCCCCCGGACCAGCAGCGCCUGAUCUUCGCUGGUAAGCAGCUUGAGGAUGGCCGCACCCUGGCGGACUAUAACAUCCAGAAGGAGUCCACCCUUCACUUGGUGCUCCGUCUCCGUGGUGGCCAGUAAGUGCCUGUCAAUGGAGCGGCUUCUCUGUGGGUUGGGUUCACAGGUCUUGUGUCUUUGAUAUGUCCUCGAAUGGUGCCUGUGUCUGUCGUCCUGGUCGUUUCUAUGUUUCUACCGUAGUGUGAUGCAUCGUUAUGUUCGGUUGUUUUUGAGAAUUGCUGCUGUUGUGAACAGCUUUGGUGAACUUGAUAAAUAAGUGAGCCCUGAAUUGUGUCUGCA